GAGCACAUGCAAGUCGAGCGAGAAAGCGGCUUCGGUCGCGAGUAAAGCGGCGGACGGGUGAGUACAACGUGGGUAAUCUACCCGAAGGUUCGGGACAACUCCGAGAAAUCGGGGCUAAUACCGGAUAAGACCACGGUAUCCGCGGAUACAGAGGUAAAAGAUUCAUCGCCUUCGGAUGAGUCCACGCCCCAUCAGGUAGUUGGUAAGGUAAAGGCUUACCAAGCCUAAGACGGGUAGCCGGCCUUAGCAGGUGAACGGCCACAUGGGAACUGAGACACGGUCCUGACUCCUACGGGAGGCAGCAGUGGGGAAUAUUGGGCAAUGGGCGAAAGCCUGACCCAGCGAUGCCGCGUGAGGGAUGAAGGCCUUCGGGUUGUAAACCUCUGUCAGGAGGGACGAUGGGACUUCGGUCUUGACUGUACCUCCAGAGGAAGCCCCGGCUAACUCCGUGCCAGCAGCCGCGGUAAUACGGAGGGGGCAAGCGUUGCUCGGAAUUACUGGGCGUAAAGGGUCCGCAGGCUGUCGGACAAGUUGGGUGUGAAAGCUCAGGGCUUAACCCUGGAAUUGCAUCCAAAACUGUCUGACUAGAGUCCGAGAGAGGUUGGCGGAAUUCCCGGUGUAGCGGUGAAAUGCAUAGAUAUCGGGAGGAACACCAGAGGCGAAGGCGGCCAACUGGCUCGGCACUGACGCUCAGGGACGAAAGCGUGGGUAGCAAACCGGAUUAGAUACCCGGGUAGUCCACGCCCUAAACGAUGGAUGCUAGGUAGGGGGAAUUUAUUUCUCCCUGCCGUAGUUAACGCAUUAAGCAUCCCGCCUGGGGAGUACGGUCGCAAGGCUGAAACUCAAAGGAAUUGGCGGGGGCCCGCACAAGGUUGGGAGCACGUGGUUUAAUUCGAUGCUAAGCGAAAAACCUUACCAAGGCUUGACAUGUUAACUUAAGCCUGCACGAAACUGUUGGGUGGAUCAGGGCUUGCCCUGACCAGUUU
rnacentral:rRNA from 1 species